AUACCUUUCUCAGCCUUUUGGCUAAGAUCAAGUGUAGUAUCCGUUCUUAUCAGUUUAAUAUAUGAUACGUAGGCUAUAUGCCUACUUUGAUAUUAAAUUUAUUUUUUGUUGGGGAUGGUCUAUCACAAUGGCUUGUCAUUGGGACCUUGCAUAUCGUCUAGGUGUUGCACUAUAGCCUAGGUCUGGCAAACCCUAA